rnacentral:rRNA from 1 species
GGAAAGAUGAAAAGAACUUUGAAAAGAGAGUUAAACAGUACGUGAAAUUGUUGAAAGGGAAACGAUUGAAGUCAGUCGUGCUGGCGCGAAAUCAACCAUCUCGUCUUGAGGUCGCAUGGCGCGACGAGCCUCAAAACCGUCACGAAGUGUGAACUCUUGACGAAAAGGUGCACUUUCGUGUCCGCUGGUUAACAUCAAUUUCGACCGUCAUAAAAAGGCUGGAGGGAUGUGGCUCCUUCGGGAGUGUUAUAACCUUUAGCGGAAUGUGGUGGUCGGGAUUGAGGAUUGCAACGAAUACCUUCAGGGCUGUUCCACCUGGCUUCUCAUUGGUAUCCUGGUGACGACAGCUUGCUGACUUUGUUAGGAUUCGCCUCUGAACAGGCUAGAGUGUGAGCAAAUUCGUUAAGGAUGUUAACGUAGUGGCUUUAAACGACCGUCUUGAAACACGGACCA